AAGCAAGAAAUGGCAAGCAUCUAUAGUUUCCUGUCAAAGGUCAUAAACCAAGCUGCCUGGCUUUCACGAGGUAUAGACUUCAACUGACGGACACUGACAGAGCAAUUGUAUGGAAUUCAGGUUUCGAAAUUUCAGUAAACCUACUUGAAGAAAUAGAAGAUACUGUGAAUGGAUCGUUUUUUAUGCGAUACCUGUAUAUAUGGAAUCACGCUUAUUCGAUUAUUUCUGCAAUAUGCCUAUGUUUAGUAUCGUUUCUGACAGCACUGUUUCUUCUGCUGCUUUUGACUACGGGUGGAAGAGAAAAAACAAACAUUUAUCAGCCAGCUGGAUAUGUUCUUAUUAUUGCUUUAUCAGUUGUCCCUUCUGUUUUCUUUGUUUGUGUAAAGUAUUCAUCUAAAAAUAAAUGGAGAGGAUUAUUCAGUAUAUAUAUAAAGGCUUUCGACGUUAUGCGGGACAUGAUCUGGAGAAUUAGCGUGAAAUACGAAGAACAGACAGGAGCUAUAUUCUACAUUUUAGCAAAUGAUGGCAAGAAUAUUGAUCGCAUUUCAUUAAAUAUCAUGCGAUACAACUUCAGAACAUGCAAGGUAAAC